rnacentral:lncRNA from 1 species
AGAAUAAAUAUGUCCUUCGUAAAUAUCAUUGCAAUUUACACGUCGUGGGAAUCAGAGUUACUUCCCUACAGCCUUGCCCUUGGGGGAUAGUGUUCAUCGCCCGAUGCUGCCCAUGCCACCAUCCUAGGAAGAGCGGAGGACUCUUUGGGAAGAUAGCUUUUUUUUGGGGGGGGGGUGAGGAAGGUGGACUUGUUCAUUCAUUUGAACAUGUCGGGAGCUGCUGCGCGGCCCAGCCCCACCCCAGGAGCAGCCUUUGUUGGAGGCUCGGGCAGGAAGCUCUCCGGCAGGCAGGUGUGCCAGCGCCAGCCUCACCCUCUCAGGUGCCGUCAUACUGAUUCAUCCCGAGCCACUUCCCGGGGUGGGGCUGCUUGUCUCUGGCCCACCGCAGCCUGUCCCCACUUCCCAAUGACCUGGCCUCUGAGAAGCCGCGGGGCUCUCCCUGACUCAGCCCAGCGUCGGGAGAAGCGCGUGUGCCCCCGUUCUCAGGGAGGGAAGCUGCGCACCCACCUGCGGUCUCAGCCACCUGCACCGUCUCAGCCGGCACUGAUGCCCGGUUUCCUCCUACACAUUCUUAGCACGGCCUCAGCUGUGGGACCUGAGCAAAAUCAGAAGAGCUGCUAACGCUAGACCACCAUCCCGUCAUGGCAGGGACCAGCUAAAGCCACGACUCUUGAAAUACAUGCAUUUCCAGCACAUCCGCCACCAACUGGGUCCUGCAGGAGUCCGACUUCCAAGAGCCUCUGCACAGCCAUAAAGUGUGUUGGCUCUGGCAUGAGACCACGGUUGAACUCUGGCCCUGCCUCCCUGGACAAGUCCUAUUUGUCAUCCCUAAAAGUCUUAUAGGACUAGUCCCUUCCUCACACAGUUGUUGGGGGGAAUGGGAUCAUAUAUGCAAGGCACUUAACAUCUGGGACUUAUAAGUCUCCAGUGCUUUCCAGCUAUUGCUGCUGUUACUGCUUCUGGUACUAGCUCAUGAUUUUAGGGUCAAAACUGACCUCUUGGGAUGCCUGGGUGGCUCAGUGGUUGAGCAUCUGCCUUUGGCUCAGGGCGUAAUCCCAGGGUUUAGGAUCAAAUCCCACAUCAGGGUCCUUGCGAGGAGCCAGCUUCUCCCUCUGCCUGUGUCUCUGCCUCUCUCUCCUGUCUCUCAUGAAUAAAUAAAAUCUUAAAAAACA